CGCGCAGGCGGCCUUUUAAGUCUGAUGUGAAAGCCCCCGGCUCAACCGGGGAGGGCCAUUGGAAACUGGAAGGCUUGAGUACAGAAGAGAAGAGUGGAAUUCCACGUGUAGCGGUGAAAUGCGUAGAGAUGUGGAGGAACACCAGUGGCGAAGGCGACUCUUUGGUCUGUAACUGACGCUCAAAUGCGAAAGCGUGGGGAUCAAACAGGAUUAGAUACCCUAGUA
rnacentral:rRNA from 1 species